UUGUUCAAACUAUGAUGAUAUCUUUGUAGGAAUCUCAUUGAAUUCCGAUAACGUAAUAAUGAAAUCAAAUUUAAUAGCUGAUUUUAAACUG